rnacentral:rRNA from 1 species
GUAGGGUGCAAGCGUUAAUCGGAAUUACUGGGCGUAAAGCGUGCGCAGGCGGUUUUGUAAGUCAGAUGUGAAAUCCCCGGGCUUAACCUGGGAACUGCGUUUGAAACUACAAGGCUAGAGUGUGGCAGAGGGGGGUGGAAUUCCACGUGUAGCAGUGAAAUGCGUAGAGAUGUGGAGGAACACCGAUGGCGAAGGCAGCCCCCUGGGUUAACACUGACGCUCAGGCACGAAAGCGUGGGGAGCAAACAGGAUUAGGUACCCUGGUAGUCCACGCCCUAAACGAUGUCAACUAGUUGUCGGGUCUUAACGGACUUGGUAACGCAGCUAACGCGUGAAGUUGACCGCCUGGGGAGUACGGUCGCAAGAUUA